rnacentral:rRNA from 1 species
AUUGAACGCUGGCGGCAGGCCUAACACAUGCAAGUCGAGCGGAGCGGCGGACGGGUGAGUAAUGCCUAGGUAUCUGCCUGGUCGUGGGGGAUAACGUCCGGAAACGGGCGCUAAAACCGCAUACUAUUAGAUGAGCCUAGGUCGGAUUAGCUAGUUGGUGGGGUAAAGGCCUACAAAGGCGACGAUCCUGAGCUGGUCUGAGAGGAUGAUCAGGCAACCUGGAACUGAGACACGGUCCAGACUCCUACGGGAGGCAGCAGUGGGGAAUAUUGGACAAUGGGCGAAAGCCUGAUCCAGCCAUGCCGCGUGUGUGAAGAAGGUCUUCGGAUUGUAAAGCACUUUAAGUUGGGAGGCGUUACCAACAGAAUAAGCACCGGCUAACUUCGUGCCAGCAGCCGCGGUAAUUC